GACGAACGCUGGCGGCGUGCUUAACACAUGCAAGUCGAACGGAAAGGCCUUCUUUCUCUGGUGUGUUCGGGUUGCGCGCGUGUGAGACAGACGAGUGUAACCUGCGUUAUCCUCUCGCAUCUCUUGAGUAAACUGGGGAUACUACGUGUAAGUCGCUACAGCACCACGGUGUGGGUUGGAUAGUUUCGGCGGUUGGUGAUGGAGUCGGGGCUUAUCAGCUUGGUGGUCGGGUUGUUGCUUGGGAAGGCUCCGCCGGGUAGCCGGCCUGAGAGGGUGACCGGCCACAUGGGGACUGAGAUACGGCCCAGACGCCGACGGGAGGCAGCAGUGGGGAAUAUUGCACAAUGGGCGGAAGCCUGAGGCAGCAACGCCGCGUGCGGGAUGACGGCCUUCGGGUGGUAAACCGCAUGCGCCUGGGACGAAGCGGGAGUGACGGUAAUGGGUAAAGAAGCACCGGCUAACUACGUG
rnacentral:rRNA from 1 species